AUUGACUUUUUUUAAUGUAAAAUGAUACAAAUUUAUUAUCUUACCAUAGGUGAAUGCCAGCCUUGGAAAAGGGCAGGGCCACUGGUGGUAGAUCUGGGUGGCAGGCUGUAACUUUGGGACCCUCAAAAAUGAGGAAUUUAUUUCUUUUCACUUCUGACACCAACUAUUAUUGCUGUUUGCUUUGAAAUACUCCCUCUUGGUAUCAGUCAGAGCCCUGCAAAAGCUGACAAGUACAGCGUAUUUCUCAUUUUUUUGGGUGGACUCACAAGCAAAACUCUCAAAAGAUAACUGCCUUUUUUGCAUGAGAUUCAAGAGUUACUUUAAUUUUCUUAAACCAAAAAGAGAGAGCCAAAUGCCAGUUCACGUCUAUCAUACGCCCUUUCAUAGAGCUGUUGGUAAAGCAAUUAAAUGCAUAAAUGACAGAAAUGAUAGAUAUUGGUUCCAUUAUUGCUAUUUCAUGCAGACAGAGUUAUAUUUCCCCAAGAUUAGAUUUUUAUGACAAGAAUUUUUUUUUGUAGUCAUAAUACAGAACUGUUAUUUGUCAAAGAAGUAAUAUUUGUUUUUGGCUGUUGGUGAAAUCUCAGAGGAAAAAUUUCCAGACUCCAUUUCACUUUUAAGAAGUACAUAAACCUGAAGAGUAAGUUUUUUCUUUCUUUCAAAAUAGGUUUUGUUUUGACUUUGAAAACCUCAGACUUCCACGAAGCAUUAUAAUGUUUGGAAUAAGCAUAUAAAAUAUUUCAGGGUACUGGGAUUUAUCUUUUUUCGUAACUCUGGGCAAAAAUUCCUAGGGCAAGUCUGAGGAUAGAUUUUUUUUUUUCACUCUCCAACUUGCCUCGAUGCUGAGGUCUGGGGGAAAUGCUUUGGGUCCCCUGCAUAGCCAAGGUUAAGUGUGCACAAGGCCAGUGGAGACCCUCAUUGUUGUUACAGUGGGUAACAAAAGAGAUUCACAGAGUGCUGAAUUCUGGAAGGGACUAUCCAAAUCAACUACAUAAUGCUGUCAUUUCUCAAAUGGGAAACUGAAGUACAGGGAGAUGAAGGGACCUGUCAAGGUCAUCUGAUCAGCUAGUGUCAUGGUUGUGAUCCAGGCAGACUCCCCAUUUAGUGAUUUUUUUUCUCAGUACUUUCCCAGGAUCCUUUUUUACUUCAAUUUUGAUUUGCUUCCAUUCCAGUCCAUUCCAGCUGGUCCCUGAUAUUGACGUGGGUGCUGUUUUGGCCUCAAUCCUGCCCUCUGCCUGUAUUCACUGAGUGGGAUUUCCCCACCAGAAACCUUGGCAUUCUCUGAGUCAUUUGGAUUUGGACUUACUUGUCCAGAAGUUUUAGUUCCUGGAGAACUUGAGAAGGACUCCUCCAGUUGUUGGACUUUAUUCCCCCUGCCGCUGCUCCACACCACCACAGCUUAUUCAGUCGCUGGACAGUUCUUGGUGAAGAAUGAUAUUCCUUAUUGCAGCGUGCCCCUUCUGCCUUGGCAAAGACCCAGCACAUUCUUCCACCUGAUGGUUUGAUGAAAAACCAAGGUUCAAUAAGAAGCCCUUUGUCUUGGGGAAACUGAAUUUUCCUGCUGAGAUGGUAGACCAUACUUGGUUCUGUUUCCAGUUCGAAAGAGUGCCAUAUUUAUCAAACAACACUUUGAAGUAUCAUUUGAGAAAUUUAUGGGAUCUUUACUUUCCUUAUUUGUAAAUGAUGUAGUAUUUAAUAUAUCCAAAUGAAUUUAUACAAAUAAAUGCACAUUAUAAAGCAUAAUAAUUUGGAAUACAAAUAUAAUGGGAAAUCUCAUUUUAAUUUUUAUCCAUAUGAACUGUCCUGUUGCAAUGUAUAAAUGCAAGAAUAUAUCUUCAUGUAAAUAUUUUCAAUAAAUGAGCAAAACCA